CAUAAAGGCUUGGUCCUGACUUUACUAUCAGCUCUAGCUAAACUUACACAUGCAAGUAUCCGCACCCCUGUGAGAAUGCCCCACAGUUUCCCGCCCGGAAACAAGGAGCCGGUAUCAGGCACGGUCCAUACCAGCCCAUGACACCUUGCUCAGCCACACCCUCAAGGGACAUCAGCAGUGAUAGACAUUAAGCCAUGAGUGAAAACUUGACUUAGUUAAAGCUUAAAGAGCCGGUAAAACUCGUGCCAGCCACCGCGGUUAUACGAGAGGCUCAAGUUGAUAGACAACGGCGUAAAGAGUGGUUAAGGGAAACUUUCAAACUAAAGCCGAACGUCCUCAAAGCUGUUUAACGCUCCCGAGUUAAGAAGCCCCAUUACGAAAGUAGCUUUACCUCACCUGACCCCACGAAAGCUGUGAAACAAACUGGGAUUAGAUACCCCACUAUGCUCAGCCCUAAAAUUUGAUAGGCCCCUACGCCCCCUAUCCGCCCGGGUACUACGAGCACCAGCUUGAAACCCAAAGGACUUGGCGGUGCUUCACAUCCGUCUAGAGGAGCCUGUUCUAGAACCGAUACCCCCCGUUAAACCUCACCCUCCCUUGCUUUUAUACCGCCUAUAUACCGCCGUCGUCAGCCUACCCUGUGAAGGCCUAGAAGUGAGCAAAAUUGGUAAGACCCAAAACGUCAGGUCGAGGUGUAGUGAAUGAGAGGGGAAGAAAUGGGCUACAUUUCCUAAGUUAGGAAAUACGAAUAAUGAACUGAAAUAAGCAUUUGAAGGUGGAUUUAGCAGUAAGCAGAAAAAUAGAGUGUUUCGCUGAAGUCAUGGCAAUAAAGCACGCACACAUCGCCCGUCACUCUCCCCGAGCUAUCCUACUAACUAGUACCUAAAAAAUUAUACCUGCAAAGGGGAGGCA
rnacentral:ncRNA from 1 species